rnacentral:lncRNA from 1 species
CACACUUGCACGUGUUAUGCUACUGAUGCCUGGAGGGACUGGCAUUUGCUGAUUGGAUAGGGGAUGAGCCAACCAGACAAGGCCGUGUCACACUAUUGUUGGCUCUCCUCGCCUGGUGCCUGUCAAUUGAUGGUGCAUGCGCAAUCAAAACAUUUUAAUUAAUGUCACAAUGAUGUGGAGGCUGCACUAUGAUUAAUAAGACAGAUCCGACGGAUAAUGAGACAAUGAUACAUAACCACUGUU